AAAGCUUUGCUAGUUUUUACCACAUGUGGCAGGAAUAUGUUCAAGAAGGAACGGAUCAGGAUCAGGCCGGCCUUCAUCAAGUUCAGAGCAUAAAUUAACUUCAUGCGUUUCACGGGCUCCAGAUCGGAUUAACAUGACUACUCUAGAAUCUUUAGCUAGAUUCAAGUCUCUACUGAAACAUCGAGACUACUACUACAGGUACAACAAACAGCUGCUACAGCAGAGACAAAAGGAAAUCAGCGCUAAUAAUCUCCGGUCCACUCCUUCCAAUCCUUGUCGAUGUUCUUCUCAGCCCACGCGAUGGCGGCGCGCGCGGCCUGAGGCGCGCCGGGGAGGCCCCUCUCUUUGAUCUCGCCCUUCAUGUCCAAGAAGGGGUGAACCAGGAGCGUCCCGGGUCCGCAGUACUCAUGUUGCAAGAACGUGCUCAAGACCUGGAAAUCAGAAUCACGUCUCAGAGAUUUCAUCUAUCGGACUAGCUGAAAGUGUAGUGCAGUGGUGUCACAUCUAACAUCGAAUUGUCGCCUACAUAAGCAACUGCGUCACUCUUGAAGGUCCUUCGAAGCCUAACAUCUUCUGCACCUGCGCAGCAUGUCGUUGCGGUGCGGUGCCCCCGCUCCUGCCUGACGACCUGCCGCGUGACAAACUUACUGCUACUACUACUUGCUUACAGUGGUGAAGGCAAAGAAAGUAUUCCUGCCACAUGUGGCACCGGCAAGUUUUUUUCAACCAACUACUGCCAGGCAGCCACCAAGACAUGUUCAUCACAGAUUCAGAGAAGAAACGGAACGGAUCAGUCCAGCAGCCUUCAUCAAGUUCAGAGCAUAAAUUCACUUCAUGCGUUUCACGGGCUCCAGAUCGGACUAACAUGACUAGUCUAGAAUCUAGCUAGACCCAAGUCUGUACUGAAACAUCGAAACUACUACAGGUACAACAGACGGCUGCUAAAACAGAGACAAAGAGUGGCAAAAAGAAAUCGGCGCUAAUAAUCUCCGGUCCACUCCUUCCAGUCCUUGUCGAUGUUCUUCUCAGCCCACGCGAUGGCGGCGCGUGCGGCCUGAGGCGCGCCAGGGAGGCCCCUCUCUUUGAUCUCGCCCUUCAUGUCCAAGAAUGGGUGAACCAGGAGCGUCCCGGGUCCGCAGUACUCAUGUUGCAAGAACGUGCCCAAGACCU
rnacentral:lncRNA from 1 species